GCUGUCGGAGGACAGCAACGCUCGACUAUUCAACAGCCUUGUCAAUUGAAUGAAUACAGAAGUUGAACAAGAGUGCAAGAAUGUCACAAUAUACGCCCGUCACAGCAAAUUUCUUUACUCUAGCACCUGUAUUUGCAAAUGGAAUUUUAAUUUUGUGGUUGUUUAGUAAUAACUAAGUGUUUUGUUUUUCUAAGUCCACAAAAAAACUCCUUACCAGGUAGAGAUACCUUAAAAUACACCUAAAAUUGGAAAGUAACAUCUAUGUUGUACCACAGAAAAGUGGUCUUGGUUUUUCCCUACGGUCAAUUAUAAAAAAGUUACAAUAUAAGUUAUUUAUAGUAACAACUAAGGGAAGUUAAUCUUAAAAAAAAAAAAAAAAAAAAAAUUGUAAGUCCUCACAAAAAUCUUUACCAGGUAGAGACUGGUCAAAAUACACCUCAAAAUUGGAUGUAGCAUGCAUGUUGUACUACAGAAAAGUGGUCUCGAUUUUUCCCUACGACUAGUAAUGAAAAAGUUACAAUAUAAGCUAUUUAUAGUAACAACAAAGGGAAGUAAUUCGAAAGAAGGGAACUGCGCAUGACACUUCGUCUCAUGAUGGUGUAUAAUUGUGUCAAGUUACAUCAAAAUCCCUCCAUGCAUGAAGAAGAAAUGCUUCGGACAAAGUCAUUCUUGUAUCUGACCUUUGGCCUCUAAGUGUGACCUUGACCUUAGACCUAGGGACCUGGUUCUUGCGCAUGACACUACGUCUCGUGGUGGUGAACAUUUGUGCCAAGUUAUAUCAAAAUCCCUCUAUGCAUGAAGAAGAAAUGCUCCGGACAAGGUUUUCAUUCUUGUAUCCUUUGACCUCUAAGUGUGACCUUGACCUUAGACCUAGAGACCUGGUUCUUGCGCAUGACACUCCGCCUCAUGGUGGUGAACAUUUGUGCCAAGUUAUAUCAAAAUCCCUCUAUGCAUGAAGAAGAAAUGCUCCGGACAAAGUUUUCAUUCUU